UACGUAGGUGACAAGCGUUGUCCGGAUUUACUGGGCGUAAAGCGCGCGCAGGCGGUCGUUUAAGUCGAGUGUGAAAGCCCCCGGCUCAACUGGGGAGGGUCACUCGAUACUGAUCGACUCGAAGGCAGGAGAGGGUAGUGGAAUUCCCGGUGUAGUGGUGAAAUGCGUAGAUAUCGGGAGGAACACCAGUGGCGAAGGCGACUACCUGGCCUGUUCUUGACGCUGAGGCGCGAAAGCUAGGGGAGCAAACGGG
rnacentral:rRNA from 1 species